AGAUCUUCAAAUGAUAUGAGAAGGAACCAAUCGGUUAGCGAUUUUAGGGGUAAUAGCGGUGCUGGUGGUGGAAUGGGGGGUGUUCCCGUCAGGUCUAGAUCGACUGAGGACAUGUAUACCAGAGCACAAUUAGAGGAUUCUGCAGCUAAUAAGGAGAGAUUUUUUGCCAGAAAAAUGGCAGAGAAUGAAUCGCGUCCAGAAGGUUUACCGCCAUCGCAAGGCGGGAAGUAUGUGGGAUUUGGAUCGAGUCCUGCUUCUUCGCAGAGGAAUAAUAAUUCCCAAUCAGAUGUUCUCUCUGUUAUGUCUCAGGGUUUUGGUAGGUUAUCUCUUGUUGCUGCAUCUGCGGCUCAAUCUGCUGCGAAUGU
rnacentral:misc_RNA from 1 species